ensembl:lncRNA
AUGAAAACGUAAUUACGAUAAAGCACUUAACGUCUGUACUUUCCAGAAUAUAACGACCUGGUCAAACACAAUGCUGAUGUUUUCGGUGCUGGAAAGAGCAGAAAAGCUGAUAAAAAAGAAAGACCCCAAGGAAAUCCAGACCUUCACUGCCAUCAUGAAACAGAUGGAGAACAUCCUCCGGCUGCUGUCCACCCCAGACGCGCCUCUGGAGGACAGGCUGAAGAAGACUGUAAGCGCCUUGGCCGACCACGAAAACGGUGSCCUGCUGGGGGUGGUGUUUCACACUGCGCUCGCUCUGGUCCUGUCCCGGAGCCCCAUCGCUCACCUUCUCAGCAACAUCUGCUUCCAGCCUGGUGUGGUGAAGGGGUCCUACCUUCCCACCAUGCCUGGAGACCUGCUUUUUGAUGAGAAGAACUGGAAAAUCGGUUCCUCAGAUAAACUUUGGAGUAAGUAUCRGGGAAACAUGGCCACUUCCAGGCCCAUAGUGGGCGACAGGCAGGAGAGCUGCUA